UCCCUGGUGGCUCAGACGGUAAAGCGUUUGUCUAUAAUGCAGGAGACCUGGGUUCGAUCCCUGGGUUGGGAA
rnacentral:tRNA from 1 species